GCACCCGUAGCUCAAUGGAUAGAGUAGCUGACUUCGAAUCAGUUGGUUGUGGGUUCGACUCCCGCCGGGUGCA
rnacentral:tRNA from 1 species